rnacentral:rRNA from 1 species
UGGGGAAUUUUCCGCAAUGGGCGAAAGCCUGACGGAGCAACGCCGCGUGAGGGAUGAAGGCCUCUGGGCUGUAAACCUCUUUUAUCAAGGAAGAAGAUCUGACGGUACUUGAUGAAUAAGCCACGGCUAAUUCCGUGCCAGCAGCCGCGGUAAUACGGGAGUGGCAAGCGUUAUCCGGAAUUAUUGGGCGUAAAGCGUCCGCAGGCGGCCCUUCAAGUCUGCUGUUAAAAAGUGGAGCUUAACUCCAUCAUGGCAGUGGAAACUGAGGGGCUUGAGUGUGGUAGGGGCAGAGGGAAUUCCCGGUGUAGCGGUGAAAUGCGUAGAUAUCGGGAAGAACACCAGUGGCGAAGGCGCUCCGCUGGGCCAUCACUGACGCUCAUGGACGAAAGCCAGGGGAGCGAAAGGGAUUAGAUACCCCUGUAGUC